AGCGAACGCUGGCGGCAGGCCUAACACAUGCAAGUCGAACGGACCCUUCGGGGUUAGUGGCGGACGGGUGAGUAACACGUGGGAACGUGCCUUUAGGUUCGGAAUAGCUCCUGGAAACGGGUGGUAAUGCCGAAUGUGCCCUUCGGGGGAAAGAUUUAUCGCCUUUAGAGCGGCCCGCGUCUGAUUAGCUAGUUGGUGAGGUAACGGCUCACCAAGGCGACGAUCAGUAGCUGGUCUGAGAGGAUGACCAGCCACACUGGGACUGAGACACGGCCCAGACUCCUACGGGAGGCAGCAGUGGGGAAUCUUGCGGAAUGGGCGAAAGUCUGACGCAGCCAUGCCGCGUGAAUGAUGAAGGUCUUAGGAUUGUAAAAUUCUUUCACCGGGGACGAUAAUGACGGUACCCGGAGAAGAAGCCCCGGCUAACUUCGUG
rnacentral:rRNA from 1 species